GGAUGUGAGGGCAAUCUGGCUGCGACAUCUGUCACUCCAUUCAUCACCAGGGUUGAUUCGGCUGAUCUGGCUGGCUAGGGGGGGUGUCCCCUUCCUCCCUCAAUGCUCCAUGUGCGUCCCUCCCGAAGCUGCACGCCUGGUCGAAGAGGACGACCACCUCCCAUUAGAGGAGGACUGUUCUUCGGCCAGAGGUAUAGGAGGAACUGCGCUCCCCUGCUAGAACCUCCAAACAAGCUCUCAAAAAGUGUCUAGAAAGGUUGACUAUGGGCAUACACACAGGUUUUUUGUGAAUAUCCAUGU
rnacentral:snRNA from 1 species